GAUGAACGCUGGCGGCGUGCUUAACACAUGCAAGUCGAACGGAAAGACGGGGACAUUGCUGGUCGCGCGUUGGGGACGGGCGGGUGAGAAACAGGAAGAUACCCUGCCUAUGAGACUGACAUAACGUAGGGUACCCUAAUACAACAUACGAUCAUAUGAUGAAACCGGGGGUCCUUUGGUCCUCGCCGGAUUGGCUCUGCCGAUGUGAGAUUAGGUAGUUGGUUUGGUAAAGGCUUACCAAGCCGACGAUCUGUAGCCGGUCUGAGAGGACGACCGGCCACACUGGGACUGAGACACGGUCCAGGCUCCUACGGGAGGCAGCAGUGGGGAAUUUUGGGCAAUGGGCGAAAGCCUGACCCAGCCAUGCCGCGUGAAGGACGAAGGCCUUCGGGUCGUAAACUGCUUUUGUAAGGGACGAACAGGUUUGGGCUAAAACAUGGAGGUCAUGACGGUACCGUAUCAAUAAGCAACGGCUAACUACGUG
rnacentral:rRNA from 1 species